UAUUUUUUUUUUUUUUUCAAAUAACUGAAAUACUUAUUAGUAAAUCCUGUCUUUUACAGGAAUACUUACAGUGCCAUGUCCUCAUAGGUAUGGUCAUUCCACAUUUCAGAAGUUCUAUAGCAACAGCAUGAAUGUAUCUUAACAUCACAGGACUUGCCCCCGAAAGAGUGGUUGAUUCUCAACAGGGUUUUCUACUCUUGCUUCUUAAGUUCAGCAGAGUAAGGAAAGAAUGGGAAGCACACUGUGCAGCUGAAAUCAGAAGAUGUGGAAGGAAGGAGAGGAAAAUCGAAGGAAGCACACUUCAGAGACAUAUGUAACAAACAAAAUCCUCACACUGCAUAGAGGCCUCCCAUUUUAACAGGAUGGAAGAGUGUGCAGGAUGUACUAAUAUAACUUACUAGUCUUUGAAUCCAG
rnacentral:lncRNA from 1 species